rnacentral:rRNA from 1 species
AGAGUUUGAUCAUGGCUCAGAAUCAACGCUGGCGGCGCGCUUAACACAUGCAAGUCGAACGAGAAAGUGGAGCAAUCCAUGAGUAAAGUGGCGUACGGGUGAGUAACACGUGGGUAAUCUACCUCUGGGUGGGGGAUAACCCUGGGAAACCGGGGCUAAUACCGCAUAAGCCUGGAAAGGGAAAGGCGAAAGUCGCCGAGAGAGGAGCCCGCGGCCGAUUAGCUAGUUGGUAGGGUAAAGGCCUACCAAGGCGAUGAUCGGUAGCCGGCCUGAGAGGGCACACGGCCACACUGGCACUGAAACACGGGCCAGACUCCUACGGGAGGCAGCAGUGGGGAAUCCUGCACAAUGGGGGCAACCCUGAUGCAGCGACGCCGCGUGAGCGAUGAAGCCCUUCGGGGUGUAAAGCUCUUUCGGCAGGGAAGAUGAUGACGGUACCUGCAGAAGCAGCUGCGGCUAACUACGUGCCAGCCGCCGCGGUAAUAC